rnacentral:rRNA from 1 species
GACGAACGCUGGCGGCGUGCCUAAUACAUGCAAGUAGAACGCUGAAGGAGGAGCUUGCUUCUCUGGAUGAGUUGCGAACGGGUGAGUAACGCGUAGGUAACCUGCCUGGUAGCGGGGGAUAACUAUUGGAAACGAUGGCUAAUACCGCAUAAUAGUAGAUGUUGCAUGACAUUUGCUUAAAAGGUGCAAUUGCAUCACUACCAGAUGGACCUGCGUUGUAUUAGCUAGUUGGUGGGGUAACGGCUCACCAAGGCGACGAUACAUAGCCGACCUGAGAGGGUGAUCGGCCACACUGGGACUGAGACACGGCCCAGACUCCUACGGGAGGCAGCAGUAGGGAAUCUUCGGCAAUGGACGGAAGUCUGACCGAGCAACGCCGCGUGAGUGAAGAAGGUUUUCGGAUCGUAAAGCUCUGUUGUAAGAGAAGAACGAGUGUGAGAGUGGAAAGUUCACACUGUGACGGUAUCUUACCAGAAAGGGACGGCUAACUACGUG